UGAGGAAUUCUGCGCAAUGGGGGGAACCCUGACGCAGCAACGCCGCGUGAGUGAUGAAGGCCGUUAGGUUGUAAAGCUCUGUCGCCCGGGAAGAAAGGUCUUUUCAGGAAAUGGGGAGGAUUUGACGGUACCGGGAAAGGAAGCACCGGCUAACUCCGUGCCAGCAGCCGCGGUAAUACGGGGGGUGCGAGCGUUAUUCGGAAUCAUUGGGUGUAAAGCGCAUGUAGGCGGCUGGGUGUGUCAGAUGUGAAAGCCCGGGGCUCAACCCCGGAAGCGCAUUUGAAACUGCCUGGCUUGAGUCUCGGAGAGGAAAGUGGAAUUCCCAGUGUAGAGGUGGAAUUCGUAGAUAUUGGGAGGAACACCGGUGGCGAAAGCGACUUUCUGGACGAAGACUGACGCUCAGAUGCGAAAGCGUGGGUAGCAAACAGGAUUAGAUACCCUGGUAGUCCACGCUGUAAACGAUGGGUACUAGGUGUCGGGGG
rnacentral:rRNA from 1 species